AUUGAACGCUGGCGGCAUGCCUUACACAUGCAAGUCGAACGGCAGCACGAGGCAACCUGGUGGCGAGUGGCGAACGGGUGAGUAAUGCAUCGGAACGUGCCAUUGAGUGGGGGAUAACGUAGCGAAAGUUGCGCUAAUACCGCAUACGAUCUACGGAUGAAAGCGGGGGAUCGCAAGACCUCGCGCGAAUGGAGCGGCCGAUGUCAGAUUAGGUAGUUGGUGGGGUAAAGGCUCACCAAGCCAACGAUCUGUAGCUGGUCUGAGAGGACGACCAGCCACACUGGAACUGAGACACGGUCCAGACUCCUACGGGAGGCAGCAGUGGGGAAUUUUGGACAAUGGGCGCAAGCCUGAUCCAGCCAUUCCGCGUGCAGGAUGAAGGCCUU
rnacentral:rRNA from 1 species